GAUGAAGAACGUAGCGAAAUGCGAUAAGUAAUGUGAAUUGCAGAAUUCAGUGAAUCAUCGAAUCUUUGAACGCACAUUGCGCCCCCUGGUAUUCCGGGGGGCAUGCCUGUUCGAGCGUCAUUUCACCACUCAAGCCUCGCUUGGUAUUGGGCAACGCGGUCCGCCGCGUGCCUCAAAUCGUCCGGCUGGGUCUUCUGUCCCCUAAGCGUUGUGGAAACUAUUCGCUAAAGGGUGUUCGGGAGGCUACGCCGUAAAACAACCCCAUUUCUAAGGUUGACCUCGGAUCAGGUAGGGAUACCCGCUGAACUUAAGCAUAUUCAAUAAGCGGAGGA
rnacentral:misc_RNA from 1 species